GGCCAUCUCACCCGUCCAUAUCAAAACGAGCGGCGGAUGCGGCGCUUGUCGAUCUAUAUAAGAGGAUAGAGGUGAGGAGGCAGAGGAAGGGGCGCGGAUAAAGAGGUCGUGGUCAUUUCUGAAUACCCAGAUGUGUAGGGUCGGGCUCUGUGCCCACACCCCCCAUCACUGCUUCGCUUUUAUUACUCUCUCUCUCUCUCUCUAUCUACUAUUUAUUAUUAUUAUUAUUAUUAUUAUUUUUAUAUCUCUCUCUUUUUUGUAUGUGUGUGUGAGUAAAAAAAAAAAAAAAAUCUGACCCGAGAAAAGUAAUCAUUUCACCUAUCAUGACCAGCGCUUUCUCUCUCCUCUCAUUUCAUUACUAUACAUACAUACCCAGUAUGAGCGUGACACAGUAUAAGCGUGACCCAGUAUAAGCGUGAGCGUGAGCAUGAGCUGAGAAGAGAUGGAAGAUGGAAGAUGGAAGAUGGAAGAAGGGGAGUUUUUUUAGUUGAGGGGAAUGUUGUCUGGCUCGAGGCCGGCGGAGAUCGAGCAGAUCGCCUUUUUUCUGUAGAGAUCUCGGACCAGGCUUCAUUCCCCUCAGCUAUAGCUCCCAAAUUGAAACACUUCUCCAAGAAAAUUCUGCCAUAUGUAUGUGGGGAUGGUGAUCAAUUCCAGGAUGUUUCCUGCCAUGUUUGUUUGUUGUUUUCUGCAUAUGAGAGGGAGAAGAUGCAGAUUGGUGUAAUGAUGAUGGGUUUUGACACUCUCUCUCUCUCUUUCUCUCUCUCUUCUUACAUUCUUGAUCUUACUUGUUAAGCAGUUAUGAUUACUUUCUCUGUUUUCUUUUCUGACAGGAAGGGAAAAAGGUUAUCAUGAUUACCUUUUGAUUGAAGGAUCUUCUUUUUGUUUCUCGUCCACUUUUUUUAAAAAAUAAAAUAAAAUAAAAUCAUGUUUAUUCUUUUUUAAAUUAUUAUUAUUCUACUUUUUAGUGCCCUACUAACCUUACUUUGCUGAUUUUGCUUUUUUUUUUUUUAAUCAGCAUCAAGAGGUUAGAACUUGUAAAGCUGAUCUCAAUUAUGGUAAUCUCCUCAGGUGUCAAAGUGCUUAUUUCGCCUUAGAUCUUGCUGAUACAGCGAUAUUUUAGUGUACCUACUUUAUUUUUGGUUUAAAUGCAUCCAUCUCUAAAAUAGAGGUAUGCUCUUAUGAUCUUGUCAAAUGGUGGUCUUACGACUGCGAAUAACAAAAAUUUCUAUUUUUUCUUCGCUUUUGUGUGAUUUUUCAGGCUUCUUCCGGUGGAUUCACCGUGUGAUGAACUCCGUAAGCUUUAUUAAUCUUACUGUAAGGUCUUUAUAUGGUCUUUAUAUGAUCCUACUACAAGAAGAAAGCUUUUAUUGUGAACUAUUUGUUUAUCGGAUGUUUCAAGAUUCUUCGCCAAAUCAAGAGAUAUCAUCACUAGGCAGCAUGAAUAUGAUGCUGAUAUCCUUCUCUACGUCGUAGAUUUGAUAUAAAUUAGUUAGGAUUUAUGGUUGAUGAUAAGUACCAAGGUGUAUGUAUUAAUUGUUUUUUUAGUUCCUUAUUUGCAGAUAAUAUGGGAUGCAACAUUUACCAGUUACUAUCAGUGUCUCUUCUGAGCUGUUCUUCUUUUUUUUCAUUUUUGUUUCUUUUCUACACAUGAUUCUGUGCAGCAUCACAUGCAUGUGUUCUUUGUAUGUACCAUAAUAUACCUUGGAAAUGAUUUAUAAUUAUUUUGUUUUGUAUUUAGAAA